GACAGCUUCUGUACAGAUGUCCUAGUUAGGACAGCUGAGACCAGUUCAUCAUUGGAUGGAUGUAACCCAAAACUGUGUAUUCUAUAGCCUUCCACGCCAUUUCCCAGAAACUGUUUUCAAUAGACUAUUUACACCAUCUGCCCAGAGCAGCCUGACUCCUCAGGCUACAACGUAGGUGUUAAGAGGCCUGCAAUAUGGAAGGGUGCCUCCCUGUUCCUCACACCCUUUGUGA